GUGACCAAUUUAACUUAGAUAAUUUAAGUAAGUCAAAUGAGUAUAAAAAUUUAAAUUUUUAUUGUAAAAUUCAAACUUUAGAAGUAGAUCAAACUUUAAAUGGGAUGCAAAAUGAAAAAGUUGUUGAACCAGAUAUUGCGAUAGAGAUAUAGAAGUGCCUAGGGAAACAAAGUAUUAAAUGACUUAUAAAAUUAUUUUACAUGAUAUUGAAAAUAAAAAAAAUGUUUGAUUGGAGAGUAAGUACUCUAGUUCCCUUAUGUAAGAACAAGGGAGAUGUACACAAUUGUGCAAACUAUAGGGGUGUUAAACUAAAGAGUCAUAUUUUGAAACUUUUGGAAAAAAUAAUAGAAAAAAGGUUAAGGAAGGAGACCACAACUGAAAAUCAAUUUUGGUUUAUGGCUGGACAACGACAAUAAAAGUUAUAUAUCUUCUAUAGCAAUUAAUUAAAAAUUAUCGGGAACAAAGGUAAGAUCUACACAUGAUAUUCAUUGAUUUAGAAAAAACUUAUGAUAGAGUCCCAAGAGAAAUUAUAUGGAGAGUUCUAGAAAAGAGAGGUGUUAGCGUAGCAUAUAUUAAACUAAUUAAGGAUAUAUAUGAGAAUAUAAUGACUAGAUUGAAUACUUCAAGCAGAUUAUUUGAAGCAUCUCUAAUAAAUAUAGGGUUAACUCUAAGUCCCUUACUUUUUACACUAAUCAACAAAUACAUUCACGACAUAGUACCGUGGUGCAUAUUGUUUGCAGAUGAUAUUGUUUUGGUAGAUGAGACACAUGAAGAAGUAAAUCCUUAACUAAAAGCUUGGUGAAAAACACUAGAAGUGAAAUGUUUUAGAUUUAGUAGAGUGAAGACAGAAUAUAUCACUGUAUAUGAAAUUUAAGUUUAGAAAUAUUAAACGUAACGAGAUAAUUGUUAAGAUAGGAGAUGACGAGUUGUUUGAGAGCUUUAAGUAUUUAGGAUUAUUUUUGCAAAAUGAUGGAGGGAUUGAGAGAGAUGUCGUACAUAUAAUACAAGUUGGAUGGUUGAAAUGGAAGAGAGCGUCGGGUGUUUUAUGUGAUCAUAAAGUACUUCUAUUAAAGGGAAAUAAACUGCCAUUAGACUUGCUAUGUUAUAUGGCGCUGAAUGUUGGGUUAUGACUCGAGCACAUGAGCAGAAGAUGAGAGUUACAGAGAUGAAGAUUGAUGGUAUCCGGAUUUAUCCUGGAGCAUCCCAAGUCGCUAGAAUCUUCUCCCGAGCAAUCCAUUCUCAGGCGCUACAGUUACCAUGCUAUAGCACCUUACUCCACAAAGCCGUAUAGUACUUUACUCCACAAAGUCAGAUUGUUCUCUUGAGUAAUUCAUUGCUUAGCUACAAUACCCUUGCUAUAGUAAUGCUACAAUAGUAUUCCAAAUCCAUCUUAUUAUUUCGAGCAUCGAUUGCUCAGCUGCUACAAUAACAGUGCUAGAGUAGCUCUGCUAUAAUAACACUGCUCCAAUCGCUGAUACAGUUUUCUAAACACAUUAGAUUAUUCUUUCGAGUUAUAUAGUCCUCGACUUUUACCGUAGCUGCUACAUAACAGUUGCUGCUAUAGUGUUAUUGCACUAUAAUACUUCGGGAACUCAGCCUCAUCUCCUCAAACAAUCCUAAUUUUGGGUACUACAGUGAUUGCUACAGUGGAGUGCUGCUAUAAUGUUAUUACGCUACGACACUCAGGAAAACAGCCUCAUCUUCCUGAGCAAUCUACAUUAUUCUAUAAAAUGAGCUUCAUCUCCCAGCCAUCCCAAUUUCGGAUGCUACACUAAUCGUAUUGCUACAUUAUUAUUACACUACAAUGUUUUAGGAAAUUAGCCUCAUCUUCCUGAGCAAUCCAAAUUUCAGAUGCUAUAGUAGUGCUACAAUAUUGUUAUUUAUGUUAUUGUGCUACAGUACUCCAGAAAAUCAGUCUAAUCCCCCCGAGUAAUCCCAAUUUCGAGUGCUAUAGUCAGUCUACACUACACACAAAUAUAUAAUGUUCUCGAAAUCAGUUUAUUCUCCCGAAUAAUAUGACUAAAAUUCCACCGAGCAAUAGAUUUAUGUUUUGCCGGGCAACAUCACCGAGUGUCUCCGAGCAAUAUACUCAAGUUCUCCUGAGUAAUACAAGUAAAUCCCAUUGAGCCAUUAGUUGAGCUCGGCCGAGCAACGAAGUUGUCGAAACUUCUAAUUGUAAAUAUGUGGCAAUCAUUAAGUGGAUUGGCAAGUAGUGGAUGUUAAAUUUGGUUUCCUUGAUUUGUUCCUCUCAACACGUGGCGAUCGAUGAAUGGAUAAGUGAGUAACAGAUUGUCAGAGGUUGUGUCUUCACUCAUAUAGGAGAAAGUGGGAAGGAUGUGAAGGAUCCGACUGAGAUGCCUUUCUGAUAGCUAUAUAAGCACUAGGAGAAGUAAGGUACAAGGAUCUUGAUUCUCUUCUUCUCGUAAGCGGAGGUAACUCCUUUCCAUUAGCUUUCUUCUUCAUCUUCUUCUUUAGUCUUUUACUUCUUGGAUCGAUGACUGACUUGAGUGUUAGAGAGCAAGUACCGGCAAACCGACCCAAGCUCUAAUCCGUGUUACAUCUCAGGGUGCUUGGAUCUUGCCAGGUGGGAAGCUGAUCUCACAUUCUAUAAAGGAGGAGCCCAGCAAGUGGAAAACGAGACCAUCAAGGAUGUUAAAGUGGAUGUGUGGACAUACGAGGAUGGACAGAAUAAGAAAUGAGAGCAUUAGAGAAAAAGUCGGAGUUGCAUCUAUUAAGAGAAAAUUCUGAAAGACGUUUAAGAUGGUACAAACAUGUAAUUAUACGGCCAAUAAAUGCUAUACUUAGGUGAUGUGAAAUUAUAACAAAUAUACACAUCAACAAGAAAAAGGAAAACUAACAAAAAGACUUGAUUAACAAUAAUUAAAUAAGAUAAAGUUUAUUUAAGUAUAAAUGAUGAUAUAGUUGGGGAUAGAGCUCAAUGACAUAGAAUGAUUUAUAUAACCGAUUACAUCUAGUGGGAUAAAGCUUGGUUGCUGUUAUUGUUGUAUUGAACUUUUAAAUGUUCUAAAUGUUGCUGACAGGUUGAAUUUCAAUCUGAAGCUUUUGUGCUGAGUAGUUCACCAUUAUUGAGGUAUUCAAGUGCAACAAUACUGAGAAUGUUGAGAACCAGAGCAAAUGCAAGCAAUAUCACUACAGAGUACCAAUACCAACGCCACUCUGUUAACAUCCCUCUCGCUCUCAGAAUGGUCUUUCCAAUUGUAUCCUCGAUGCUUCCUCCAUUGUCAAAUUUCUGUUAGAAUAAUUGCAGAUAGAAGUCUGCAACGUUCUUUCUGUCGGGACAUUUGAAGCCCAUCCAUUCAAAAUAUUUAAGGGCAUGUUCUCUUGGUCCUUGGUAAGCAAUUUUUCCCUCACAUAGAAGGAUUAUAUCAUCAAAUAGAUCAAAUGUUUCUUGAGUAGGCUGAAGCAAAGAUAUAACCAUGGUGAAAUCCAAAGCAUGUGUAAGCUGCUGCAGAAACUUGAGAAUCUGAAAGGUAGUGGAGCUAUCAAGCCCUGUGGAAAUGUCAUCCAUGAAAAAACAUUGUGCUAGUCCUACCAGCAUUUCACCUGCAGACGUGCAACAGUGCAAAUUGCAAAAUUAAAUGCCUCUGGAGAGUUACUACAGCAUGGUACAAAACCUCAGCACACAUCAGCCAAGCCUAUAUGAUGCUUCAAAGUUCCAAGUCCUCCCUCCCUGCCUUUCACUUCCACAUCCAUAAUACUAUGAAUUAUACAGGAUGUGGUCAAUCUGAUAAGUCUACAUCUAUAGGUAUGUUUAUGUGAUUCAUGGGUCUUGUGGGCAUCCAUACACAGUCAACUAUAUGCCAUAAUCAUUUGGGUCCAAUUGACAGUAUGCUUACUAAGCACGCUAUUAUAAGACUGAAAUCCAUCCUACAUUGUAAUUUAGAUCAAUGCAAAUCAUAUUUUCUGUAUUUAUGAUAAUAACUGCUCCUAGUGAUAAUUCUCAUCUGUAUAAGACCUUAUCUGUAUUCUGGCUUUAGAUCAGAUGCUAGUUGACUUAGGAGUUUAAGUUUAGCCUAAGUGAAAUCGUUGUAUCUGCCUUUGACUAACUUUGCCAAAACACAAGCUUGAAACCAAUAUAGUAAAACACUCCUAUCAGUCUACAAAGGUUGAUUAGGUUGGGUGUGUUUAUCUGAUGGAUCUUUUCUAUCAAGCAAUUGUAUUGACCAGAUAUGUUGGGCUCAUGACUCGAAAAUGUGUGCUGGGUGUGUCAAUUGAGCAAAGCCAAUCAAGUAGACCCAGUGAAUCAAACAAUUAAGCAGACCGAACAAAUUAGGUAAGUGAAGAAAAACAACUUUGGUGGGUCUCUAGAGUCGUUAGAUGAAUUAAACUAAUUGACAGGAUGAGUAGUACAAAUGGGAUAGAUGGAUUAUGGAUAAAUUAUACCCAAUAAUAGUUAAUCAUUUCAAAGAUUAUUCUUUAUUUAUUACUUAUAGUAUUUUUAGAAAUAACAUAUACAAAGUUAUAUGGAGUUUUUAUUUGCCAACUAAGCUCCACAUAUACAUAAACAAACAUUUUACUGAGAUCUUUAACAACAUGUGAAUUUGAAGACUAGAGAAAUAUAAUAAUAUAUCAAAGCUUGUGCCUAGAUUUGUGCCAUCUACAUGUUAAAAUCUCAAAAAGUUUAUUCUAAUACACAGCCAUGUUUGCACGUGACUUUUCUGAUAAUGUUUCUUGAAGACUUCUUGCAACUGUACAGUUGUAAGAAAUCCUGUACGAACUGUCAGAAAAGUGAAACUUGCCUUCUUGUGCCAAAGAGAAAAAAAAUACUCGUUUUUUUUUGUAAAUCUUGGUUUCAGGCUUAGUAGAAUAAAAAUAGAAUAUAUAAAAUUUAAAUUUAGUAAUAUUAGACGUAAUGAGAUAAUUGUUAAAUAGGAGAUGACAAGUUGUCCGAAACCGAGAGUUUUAAAUAUUUAGAAUCAUUUUUGUAAAACGAUAGAGGGAUUGAGAGAGAUGUCUUACAUAAAAUACAAGUAGGAUGGUUGAAAUGGAGGAGAGCGUAGGGUGUUUUAUGUUACCGUAAAAUACCUCUAAAACUUAAAGAAAAGUUCUACGAAACCCCAGUUAGACCUGUUAUGUUAUAUAGAGUUGAAUGUUGGGCUAUGCCUCGAGCACAUGAGUAGAAGAUGUGAAUUGUAAUAUGAGGAUGUUAAAGUGGAUGUGUGGACAUACGAGGAUGGACAGAAUAAUAAAUAAGAGCAUUAGAAAGAAAGUUGGAGUUGCAUCUAUUGAGGGGAAACUUCGAGAGACAUGAUUAAGAUGAUACAUCCAUGUAUUUAGACGACUAAUAAAUGCUCUCACAAGCAUACAUAUCAAAUAAGGAAGAGGAAGACAAAAAAAACACAUGGUUAGAAAUAAUAAAAUAAGAUAAAAUUUAUUUAAGUAUAAAUGAUGAUAUAGUAGGAGAUAGAAUUCAAUAAUGUAAAAUAAUUCAUAUAGCCGACCUCAUCUACUGAGAUAAGAUUUAGUUAUGGUUGAUGUUGUAGUUUUUUUUCAUAAAUGAAGCAUUAAAAGUCAACUUUCAAGCUAUUUGUAAUCUAUCUUAAUGACAGAAUUAAAAAUUAGUACCUAGAUGGCUUUACAGUUCCUUUCAAAUCACUUAGCACUUUGACACGCCUCCAAUUUGUAUCAUACAAUUUUAGCCAUCCCAGAAGUUCCUGUCCAGGCAUAGAACAGUUUAGUUAGGCAAAUCCUUGGCAGGCACAAGAAAACAUCAGGAAAAUUUUUAAGUAAAAUGCAGAAAACACCAUGAUCAGGAUUCGCUGAUCAAUGUUCAUUUAUUAUGCCAACGGCAGAUCAACACUUUCUUUAUUCUAAUCCCAUCAGUUAAAGAGUCUUAUUUAUUCUAUGCCAUUUGUACUACUGCAUGCUUGUUUUCCAUGUGUCAAUUGCUUUGCUGAUCCUGAUCACAAUUGCAGAUCGAGUUUGUCUUGAACUUUUAACUGGUGAGUAUUCCUAAUAAAAGCGUGCUAAUGUUUCAUAGUUUUUUUAGCAGUAGCUAAAGCAUUUGAUGGUGAGAAAUGCAGUUGCAAGCAAUAACAUCUCUAUUAUUUCAUUGGUUCCCAAUGCUAAUGAGUUUGGUUCUUUAUUCUACAACAGCUGGCACAUUUAUAAUGGCGAACUCAACAGUGCACGCACGCGCUUUGGCCGAACAAAGUGACAAGGAACAUGAUUGGAGUUAAAUCACUGUCUCAAUGCACAGUGUUUUUUAGAAAAUCUUCCAUGCUAACAUAGACAAGUGGAAGAUGAGGUAAUUGUCAAACAACAUUUUGUCCAUGAAUCAAUCAGUAAACAAAUUAUUGCACCAAACUUAAUUUCUAGGUAGUCAUUUUAAUGAAGGGUUGCUGCUUCUGUACUGAUCUAGCAGAUUGAGCACAGGUAGGAAACUAAGAUAAGGGAAUGUUUAAUUAUCAACAGAGGUAAGAUUCUAUCAAUCAUGGAGAUUAUUAAUCUUAAACUGUUGAAGCUGAUUAUAUAUAUAUAUAUUAUAUAUGCUCCUUCAAUUAUUUAGUCACAGUACUGAAAACAUAAUUGUCUUGUAAAAAA